GACGUAGGGCGCGAGCGUUGUCCGGAUUUAUUGGGCGUAAAGAGCGUGUAGGCGGCUUGGCAAGUCCGCUGUGAAAACUCGAGGCUUAACCUCGAGACGUCGGUGGAAACUGCCUGGCUAGAGUCCGGAAGAGGAGUGUGGAAUUCCUGGUGUAGCGGUGAAAUGCGCAGAUAUCAGGAAGAACACCGAUGGCGAAGGCAGCACUCUGGGACGGUACUGACGCUGAGACGCGAAAGCGUGGGGAGCGAACAGG
rnacentral:rRNA from 1 species